rnacentral:rRNA from 1 species
UGCGUAACGCGUGGGAACCUGCCUUUAGGUCCGGAAUAACAGUUAGAAAUGACUGCUAAUGCCGGAUAAUGUCUUCGGACCAAAGAUUUAUCGCCUUUAGAUGGGCCCGCGUAGGAUUAGGUAGUUGGUGAGGUAAAGGCUCACCAAGCCGACGAUCCUUAGCUGGUCUGAGAGGAUGAUCAGCCACACUGGGACUGAGACACGGCCCAGACUCCUACGGGAGGCAGCAGUAGGGAAUAUUGGACAAUGGGCGAAAGCCUGAUCCAGCAAUGCCGCGUGAGUGAUGAAGGCCUUAGGGUUGUAAAGCUCUUUUACCAGGGAUGAUAAUGACAGUACCUGGAGAAUAAGCUCCGGCUAACUCCGUGCCAGCAGCCGCGGUAAUACGGAGGGAGCUAGCGUUGUUCGGAAUUACUGGGCGUAAAGCGCGCGUAGGCGGCUUUCCAAGUCAGGGGUGAAAUCCCGGGGCUCAACCCCGGAACUGCCCUUGAAACUGGAUGGCUAGAAUACUGGAGAGGUGAGUGGAAUUCCGAGUGUAGAGGUGAAAUUCGUAGAUAUUCGGAAGAACACCAGUGGCGAAGGCGACUCACUGGACAGUUAUUG